rnacentral:rRNA from 1 species
GAUGAACGCUAGCGGCAGGCCUAACACAUGCAAGUCGAGGGGUAGCAGGAUUAAGCUUGCUUAAUUGCUGACGACCGGCGCACGGGUGCGUAACGCGUAUGCAACCUACCUUAUACUGGGGUAUAGCCCGGAGAAAUUCGGAUUAAUCCCCCAUAGUACUAAUGAAUCGCAUGGUUUAUUAGUUAAAGCAUUGCGGUAUAAGAUGGGCAUGCGUCCUAUUAGCUAGAUGGUGAGGUAACGGCUCACCAUGGCUACGAUAGGUAGGGGGCCUGAGAGGGUGGUCCCCCACACUAGUACUGAGGCACGGAACAGACUCCUACGGGAGGCAGCAGUGAGGAAUAUUGGGCAAUGGGGGCAAGCCUGAACCAGCCAUGCCGCGUGCAGGAAGAAUGCCCUGUGGGUUGUAAACUGCUUUUAUUUGAGAAUAAAACUCUUUACGUGUAGAGAGCUGAAGGUACCAAAUGAAUAAGCACCGGCUAACUCCGUGCCAGCAGCCGCAGUAA